rnacentral:rRNA from 1 species
UACGAAGGGGCUAGCGUUGUUCGGAAUUACUGGGCGUAAAGGGCGCGUAGGCGGUGUGUCAAGUCAGGCGUGAAAGCCCCGGGCUCAACCUGGGAACCGCGCUUGAGACUGGCACGCUCGAGUUCGGGAGAGGAUGGUGGAAUUCCCAGUGAUAGAGGUGAAAUUCGUAAGAUAUUGGGAAGAACACCGAUGGCGAAGGCAGCCAUCUGGACCGACACUGACGGCUGAGGCGCGAAAGCGUGGGGAGCAAACAGG